AAGUAAGAAGCAAAAUUAUUGCACUUAAUUUCGACUUAAACUUUUGGUUUCAAAACCCUUACUUA
rnacentral:tRNA from 1 species